rnacentral:tRNA from 1 species
GCGAAGGUGGCGGAAUUGGUAGACGCGCUAGCUUCAGGUGUUAGUGUCCUUACGGACGUCGGGGUUCAAGUCCCCCCCCUCGCACCA